CCGGCACGGGUGAGUAACACGUAUCCAACCUGCCGUCUACUCUUGGCCAGCCUUCUGAAAGGAAGAUUAAUCCAGGAUGGGAUCAUGAGUUCACAUGUCCGCAUGAUUAAAGGUAUUUUCCGGUAGACGAUGGGGAUGCGUUCCAUUAGAUAGUAGGCGGGGUAACGGCUCACCUAGUCAACGAUGGAUAGGGGUUCUGAGAGGAAGGUCCCCCACAUUGGAACUGAGACACGGUCCAA
rnacentral:rRNA from 1 species